rnacentral:rRNA from 1 species
UACGGGGGGGGGGCAAGCGUUGUUCGGAAUUACUGGGCGUAAAGGGCUCGUAGGCGGCCAACUAAGUCGGAUGUGAAAAUCCCCCAGGCUUAACCUGGGGAACUGCAUCCGAUACUGGAUGGCUUGAAAUCCGGGGAGAGGGAUGCAGAAUUCCAGGUGUAGCGGGUGAAAAUGCGUAGAUAUCUGGGAGGGAAAUACCCGGGUGGGCGAAAGGGCGGGCAUCCCUGGGACCCGGGCAUUGACGCUGAGGGGAGCGAAAAGCCAGGGGAGCAAAACGGGG